GAUCAUGGCUCAGGACGAACGCUGGCGGCAUGCUUCAUACAUGCAAGUCGAACGAUAAGGUCUCUUCGGAGAUACAUAAGUGGCGGACGGGUGAGUAAUAUGUAGGAAAUCUGCCCUUGAGAGGGGGACAACAGAGGGAAACUUCUGCUAAUACCCCAUAUGAGCGUACCUGAAAUGGUAUUCUUGAAAACUCCGGUGCUCAAGGAUGAGCCUGCAUCUGAUUAGCUUGUUGGCGGUGUAAUGGACCACCAAGGCGACGAUCAGUAGCUGGUUUGAGAGGAUGAUCAGCCACAAUGGGACUGAGACACGGCCCAUACUCCUACGGGAGGCAGCAGUAGGGAAUUUUGCGCAAUGGGCGAAAGCCCUGACGCAGCAAUGCCGCGUGAACGUAGAAGCCCUUCGGGGUGUAAAGUUCUGUCAGUAGGGACGAAUUUUGACGGUACCUACAGAGGAAGCACCGGCUAACUCCGUGCCAGCCGCCGC
rnacentral:rRNA from 1 species